rnacentral:snoRNA from 15 species
AGGACCCUAUUUCCUGGGGGGUGAGCUCAGUCUACCCCACCCCCCCUCAGUGGGUCCCAGAAUAGAAUGCCAGGAUGGGUCUCACUCCUACCCCAUGAACAGAGAGGAGUGUGAGACAGACACCUGCUCUGGCCAGUACUGGCAACACAUGU